GAAAACAUUUCCUCUUAGAUAAAGAGGUAAGGCCUGCUCACUGAAUUUUAAAGAGCCGCAGUAUUCUAACUGUGCUAAGGUAGCAUAAUCAUUAGUCUUUUAAUUGAAGACUGGUAUGAAUGGCUUAACGAGAAAUUGACUUUUUUUGUUAUAAAAAUUGAAUUUAAUUUUUUAGUGAAAAAGCUAAAAUCAUUCAGAAAGACGAGAAGACCCUAUAGAGUUUUAUGUUUUAAAAAUAAAUUUUUAUUAGAUUUUGAAUUAUUAAUUUUUAUAAACAUUUUGUUGGGGCGACAUAAAGAUAAAUAAAACUCUAUAUAUUAAAAAUUUUUAUAAAAAUAUUCUUGAUCCUUUAUAAGAGAUUAUAAGAAAAAAUUACCUUAGGGAUAACAGCGUAAUCUUUUUUGAGAGUUCUAAUCGACAAAAAGGUUUGCGACCUCGAUGUUGGACUAAAAUUUAGGCAGGGUGCAGCAGUUCUGCUUUAAGGUCUGUUCGACCAAUAAAA
rnacentral:rRNA from 1 species